rnacentral:lncRNA from 1 species
AUUUUUCUCAUUUGAAAUUUCAUAAAUAAAAAAGAAAAUUUCUUCAAACAUUUUUUUGAGAGGAUUAAUAUUCAACAGCAUAGUGAAUUGCUCUAAGAGAAAACAAAAAUUUUAAGUUCAUUAGACCACAUUCAUUCUGUGUCAGAAACCUAUGCUGUGUCAACUAUUUAAUCACAAUCCAAAUUUAGAGCUGAAUCCAGCUUGAAUGUUGUGUCCAUACUUGCCCCAACCGUUCAGGGUUCAACCUAUGCGGUCGUAUAAAGCUACGCCCUGCGGAGCAUCUGGUUGGUUAUUAUCUUGAAUAUUAUUAUAGAUAGAGAUAAACUGUAAACAGCAAUAAUGUUCAGCAAAGUAAGAUUUACAAAUAAGUCAACAUGACCGAAAUGGUCAGUUGACCCCUUUAGGAGUUAUUGCACUUUAUAGUCAAUUUUUAACCAUUUUUCGUAAAUCUUAGUAAUCUUUUACAAAAAUCUUCUCCUCUGAAACUACUGGGCCAAAUUAAUCCAAACUUGGCCACAAUCAUCUUUGGGGUAUCUAGUUUAAAAAAUGUGUCCGGUGACCCAGCCAUCCAACCAAGAUAGCCGCCAUGGCUAAAAAUAGAACAUAGGGGUAAAAUGCAGUUUUUGGCUUAUAACUCAAAAACCAAAGCAUUUAGAGCAAAUCUGAAAUUUGGUAAAAUUGUUUAUCAGGUCAAGAUCUAUCUGCCCUGAAAUUUUCAGAUGAAUCGGACAACCCGUUGUUUGGUUGCUGCCCCUAAAUUGAUAAUUUUAAGGAAAUUUUACUGUUUUUGGUUAUUAUCUUGAAUAUUAUUAUAGAUAGAGAUAAACUGUAAACAGCAAUAAUGUUCAGCAAAGCAAGAUUUACAAAUAAGUCAACAUGACCGAAAUGGUAAGUUGACCCCUUUAGGAGUUAUUGCCCUUUAUAGUCAAUUUUUAACCAUUUUUCGUAAAUCUUAGUAAUCUUUUACAAAAAUCUUCUCCUCUGAAACUACUAGGCCAA